UACGAAGGGGGCUAGCGUUGUUCGGAAUUACUGGGCGUAAAGGGAGCGUAGGCGGCUCUAUAAGUUGGAUGUGAAAGCCCCGAGCUUAACUUGGGAAUAGCACUCAAUACUGUAGAGCUAGAGAGUGAUAGAGGAUGAUGGAAUUCCUAGUGUAGAGGUGAAAUUCGUAGAUAUUAGGAGGAACACCAGUGGCGAAGGCG
rnacentral:rRNA from 1 species